GACGAACGCUGGCGGCGUGCUUAACACAUGCAAGUCGAACGGAAAGGCCCUGCUUUUGUGGGGUGCUCGAGUGGCGAACGGGUGAGUAACACGUGAGUAACCUGCCCUUGACUUUGGGAUAACUUCAGGAAACUGGGGCUAAUACCGGAUAGGAGCUCCUGCUGCAUGGUGGGGGUUGGAAAGUUUCGGCGGUUGGGGAUGGACUCGCGGCUUAUCAGCUUGUUGGUGGGGUAGUGGCUUACCAAGGCUUCGACGGGUAGCCGGCCUGAGAGGGUGACCGGCCACAUUGGGACUGAGAUACGGCCCAGACUCCUACGGGAGGCAGCAGUGGGGAAUAUUGCACAAUGGGCGGAAGCCUGAUGCAGCAACGCCGCGUGCGGGAUGACGGCCUUCGGGUUGUAUACCGCUUUCGCCUGCGACGAAGCGUGAGUGACGGUAAUGGGUAAAGAAGCACCGGCUAACUACGUG
rnacentral:rRNA from 1 species